UACGUAGGGGGCAAGCGUUUGUCCGGAUUUAUUGGGCGUAAAGAGCGUGUAGGCGGCCAGACAGGUCCACUGUGAAAACUCGAGGCUCAACCUCGAGAGGUCGGUGGAAACCGUCUGGCUAGAGUCCGGAAGAGGAGAGUGGAAUUCCCGGUGUAGCGGUGAAAUGCGCAGAUAUCGGGAAGAACACCCGUGGCGAAGGCGGCUCUCUGGGACGGUACUGACGCUGAGACGCGAAAGCGUGGGGAGCGAACAGG
rnacentral:rRNA from 1 species